GGAGUGGUAUCGAAGUGGUCAUAACGGGACUGACUCGAAAUCAGUUGACGGGCAACCGUCCGUGGGUUCGAAUCCCACCCACUCCGCCA
rnacentral:tRNA from 1 species